AACAUACCGAAAGGUAUGCUAAUACGAGAUAAUAUGUUUUUAUCGCAUGGUAGAAGUAUCAAAGCUUUUGCGGUACAGGAUGGACCCGCGUCUGAUUAGCUAGUUGGUGAGGUAACGGCUCACCAAGGCGACGAUCAGUAGCCGACCUGAGAGGGUGAUCGGCCACAUUGGAACUGAGACACGGUCCAAACUCCUACGGGAGGCAGCAGUGGGGAAUAUUGCACAAGGGGCGAAAGCCUGAUGCAGCAACGCCGC
rnacentral:rRNA from 1 species